rnacentral:rRNA from 1 species
UACGGGAGGCAGCAGUGGGGAAUAUUGCACAAUGGGCGAAAGCCUGAUGCAGCUAUGCCGCGUGUAUGAAGAAGGCCUUAGGGUUGUAAAGUACUUUCAUCGGGGAGGAAAAACAAAACUAAUAAUUUUAUUUCUUGACGUUACCCGAAAAAGAAGCACCGGCUAACUCCGUGCCAGCAGCCGCGGUAAUACGGAGGGUGCUAGCGUUAAUCAGAAUUACUGGGCGUAAAGAGCACGUAGGUGGUUUUUUAAGUCAGGUGUGAAAUCCCUGGGCUUAACCUAGGAACUGCAUUUUGAAACUGAAAUACUAGAGUAUCGUAGAGGGAGGUAGAAUUCUAGGUGUAGCGGUGAAAUGCGUAGAUAUCUGGAGGAAUACCUGUGGCGAAAGCGGCCUCCUAAACGAAUACUGACACUGAGGUGCGAAAGCGUGGGGAGCAAACAGGGAUUAGAUACC